CCUACGGGGGCAGCAGUAGGGAAUCUUCCACAAUGGGCGAAAGCCUGAUGGAGCAACGCCGCGUGGGUGAAGAAGGUCUUCGGAUCGUAAAACCCUGUUGUUAGAGAAGAAAGUGCGUGAGAGUAACUGUUCACGUUUCGACGGUAUCUAACCAGAAAGCCACGGCUAACUACGUUCCAGCAGCCGCGGUAAUACGUAGGUGGCAAGCGUUAUCCGGAUUUAUUGGGCGUAAAGGGAACGCAGGCGGUCUUUUAAGUCUGAUGUGAAAGCCUUCGGCUUAACCGGAGUAGUGCAUUGGAAACUGGGAGACUUGAGUUGGAGAGAGGUAUGCGGAAUGCGCGGUGUAGCGGUGAAAUGCAUAGAGAUCGCGCAGAACUCCGAUGGCGAAGGCAGCAUGCCGGCUCCACACUGACGCUGAGGCACGAAAGCGUGGGUAUCGAACAGGAUUAGAUACCCCUGUAGUC
rnacentral:rRNA from 1 species